rnacentral:rRNA from 1 species
ACCGGUUGACCCUGCCGGAGGCCACCGCUAUUGGAGUACGCUUAAGCCAUGCGAGUCGAGAGGGGUAAAGCCCUCGGCGGACGUCUCAGUAACACGUGGAUAAUCUGCUCUCGGGUGGGGGAUAAUCUCGGGAAACUGAGGAUAAUACCCCAUAGGUCUGUUAUGCUGGAAUGCUUCCAGGCUUAAAACUACGGUGCCCGAGAAUGAGUCUGCGGGCUAUCAGGUCGUAGUGAGGGUAAGGGCCUCACUAGCCGACGACGGAUACGGGCGUUGAGAGACGGUGCCCGGAGUUGGACUCUGAGACACGAGUCCAGGCCCUACGGGGCGCAGCAGGCGCGAAAACUUCGCAAUGUGGGAAACCAUGACGAGGGAACUCCAAGUGCUGUCACAAAGUGGCAGCUGUUCAUCUGUCUAAAAAACAGGUGAAGUAAGGGCUGGGUAAGACUGGUGCCAGCCGCCGCGGUAAUACCAGCAGCCCGAGUGGUGGCCGCUUUUAUUGGGCCUAAAGCGUCCGUAGCCGGUCCAGUAAACCCUUGGGUAAAUCGUGGGGCUUAACUCCACGACUUCCGAGGAGACUGCUGGACUUGGGACCGGAAGAGGUCGGAGGUACUCUGGGGGUAGGGGUGAAAUCCUAUAAUCCUCAGGGGACCACCAGUGGCGAAGGCGUCCGACUAGAACGGAUCCGACGGUGAGGGACGAAGCCCUGGGGCACAAACCGGAUUAGAUACCCGGGUAGUCCAGGGUGUAAACGCUGCGGGCUUGGUGUUGGGGGUCCUACGAGGGCGUCCAGUGCCGGAGAGAAGUUGUUAAGCCCGCCGCCUGGGGAGUACGGUCGCAAGACUGAAACUUAAAGGAAUUGGCGGGGGAGCACCGCAACGGGUGGAGCGUGCGGUUUAAUUGGAUUCAACGCCGGAAAACUCACCGGGGGCGACUCUUAUAUGAAGGCCAGGCUGAUGACCUUGCCAAAUUUUGAGAGAGGUGGUGCAUGGCCGCCGUCAGUUCGUACCGCAAGGCGUUCUGUUAAGUCAGAUAACGAACGAGACCCCUGCCGUUAUUUGCUAGCUUAUCCUCAGGGAUGAGUGCACAAUAACGGGACCGCUGGCGCUAAGCCAGAGGAAGGUGGGGGCAACGGUAGGUCCGUAUGCCCCGAAUCUCCCGGGCUACACGCGCGCUACAAAGGACGGGACAAUUGGUUCCGACACCGAAAGGUGAAGGUAAUCCCCAAACCCGUUCAUAGUUCGGAUUGAGGGCUGUAACUCGCCCUCAUGAAGCUGGAAUCCGUAGUAAUCGUGGGUCAACAUCCCACGGUGAAUAUGCCCCUGCUCCUUGCACACACCGCCCGUCAAACCAUCUGAGUUGGGUUUGGGUGAGGGUAUCUCUUCCUGUGAUGCUCGAACCUAGGUUCAGCAAGGAGGGUUAAGUCGUAACAAGGUA